GACAGAACUUAGUCUUCUUUGUGGAAACGCGCCAAACCAAAAUGUUUAGGAUCCUCACAGAUGAUGGUACCUCUGUUGGCAAGGUGUACAGGCUGUGUGUCGUCUCUCUAUGUGGAGCCUCAUAUCGAUCGUGUGCAUCUUCUUUGGGAUCGUGUAGUUUUGAUUCGUAAUUACUGCUCAAGACAUCACUUCGUGUGCCAAAAGACGCUGCUGCUGCUGCUGAGGCAUGUUGCAAAUUUGUUUGAUCCACACGCGAUCUACAACUUGCUGGCGCUUCUUGGUGUAUGUUAUGAGACAAAGACGACGCGCCACCUCAGGAACAAGAAGUUCGCGUGAACUUUCACGCGUCUUAUGGAUUGGCAUAUGGCACAGGCAACUGUGACUGCGACUGCUGAGCAGAACAAGACAAUCGAACUGAACUGGAAGCAAUCUUGGUAAUUUGUCGUUAAAUUAUUAAGAUGUAACUUAUAGAAGAAGAUGAAGAAUUCACGUGCAGUUCAUGAUUUUAUGUAAUUUCUGUGUGCUACAAGUGCACGAGCUUAAGCUGAGGCAUGACACGGGCAGAAGAUUAUCGAAAUUUACUUAAGGUUGUAACUUUUAUAAAUAUGAUUAAUGAACAAUUAUGGUUAACUGAAGUUGUGAUUUCCAACGUUGACGAUGGAGUUGUUGUUGGUGAAGAAUUAUGUUGAGCGUGAGACUUCAAUUUGCGAAAAGAUGAGUAAUGUCUUUAUAUUUCCAAUUAUAAAAGUGUGAAUUACAUUAACUCAUAGUAUAUUUAAGAAAACACAAAUUAAACGAUUUCAUAAACAUGCACGUGAG